GACGUAGGAGGCGAGCGUUGUCCGGAUUCAUUGGGCGUAAAGAGCGCGCAGGCGGCUUGGUAAGUCGGAUGUGAAAUCCCGAGGCUCAACCUCGGGUCUGCAUCCGAUACUGCCCGGCUAGAGGUAGGUAGGGGAGAUCGGAAUUCCUGGUGUAGCGGUGAAAUGCGCAGAUAUCAGGAGGAACACCGGUGGCGAAGGCGGGUCUCUGGACAGUUCCUGA
rnacentral:rRNA from 1 species